AUAAUUUUUUAAGGAAUGUCUCCCCCAAAUGGGAACAAUUUCAUUCUACACUUUCAACAAACUGUAUUUAACAUUAAAAGAGAACUGAUAAAACAUAUUUAAUUACUCAAGGUUAGACUUCUAAUUCCUCAAUUCACUAAAGGAAACUUGGCAAGAAGAUGCAUCAUUUUGCUGCUUUCUAGUGGAGCAUCUGAGGGAGAAGAGCCACUGAGGCAGCUAAUACACAAAACAUGAUCAAAAGUGAUUAACAACAGCUUCAUAUGCAAAUUGCAUUAAUGAAGGAGUGCAAAGUCAUCAUGUAAAUUAAAUAUGUCAAAUCUCUUGGUGAACUUUCAAUCUUGAGAAGAAAAAACACUGCUUUAAUUUUUUUACAUCAUCAAUUUUCCAAGAUUGAAAAUCUAAGAAUCUUGGUGCUAUAAAACAAUUUUCACCUUUUUUUUCUCCUUCAGCAGCCUGACAGGCUGGCCUGAUGUGUGCCGAAUGCACAUGUUAAUAGGCCAAUCAAAAAUGCAAAACAAUUCGCAAUUACUGCAAGGACCUAAUGGUCAUUAGAAUUUACAACUAGGUAAUGAACUAAAGUCUGCCCACACCAUGCAUAUUCAUAAAGCAAUUUAGCCUUUGAAGAUUAAAGAAGUGCUUAAAAUUCAAAUGAGCUUUAGCAAAUUAUCAGUAAGAUUCAUCCAAAAAGCAAAAGGGUUUUCUUCCUAUGAUUUCCUUAUUUUUAUAAUGCAAAAUUGUUGUAUCUUUCAGACUGAGCUUAAACCAAACACAGGGCUUCAAGUCAAGCCAAAGGGGCUAGAGACAAACAGAGGCAGAAAACAUUGUUAUGGACUCUGUUCAUAAAACUAAGCCCUUAAGAGCCAAACCUAUCUCUAAACAUGGUAAUUUAUCAAAAGCAGCACAGACUUGCUCAUAGGCAGUAUUGUGUGCUGCUCUCAGAGAGCAGAUUAACAAGAUUUCCGCCACCCUCCAAAAAAGCCUUUUUAGCCGCAAGUCACAUCUUCCGUGUAAACGUCAAAUGUAUUAUAAAAACAUUAUUUUCAUCAAAGUACAGUGGUAUUAAUUUUAAAAAGUUUGUGCAUGUAGGAAUGGGGGGAAAAGGCGCACAUGCUGAACUGUGUAAUAAAGGAAGUUGGUUAAUUUCUGAUGUGUGUAAAUCCAGUCAAUUUGGCACUGGGCAUCUAAAUGGAUCAUACAGAUGUCAGCUGACAAUCAAGAAGUUUGUUCUGCUGUUAGUCGACAUUGUGGGAUCUGCAAUUAUCAGCCUUUCAAUGUGGACCAGGCUCUUGGGCACGAUCCUGUAAGCACCUACUGUGAAGCAUGUUUACCAUAGUGAGUAACCCCCUAGACAUCAACAGGACUAAACACGGCUUAUGCUGCUAUGAACAGGGCUGCUAACAGGAGCAAGUGCAUACAGGAUGGAGCCAAAUAUUCACAGCUAAAGCCUACAGUGCAUUUAGGUAUUGAUUUAAGAAUGUAGAUAUUCUAAGGAACCAAGUUUUGUGAAUGAAGCAGGGAUUGUGUUUUUUGCCUUCAAGGUGAACUGGCUUUGAAGGAUUACAGAACAUUCAAAUAAUUUAUAUUCCCCCGCCCCACACCUCAGACUAUAUUCCAGAACUUUUCUUACCUGCAAGCUUUUAGAACAAAAAAGAGACUGGCUACUAUUUAUGUUCCUUUGAUCAUUUCUUCUCCUUGUGUCUUAUUCACCAACUAUUCACAUUUUAACAUUUAUUAGAAAAAAUAGAGUUCAGUACUGCGUGAAAGCCGCAUCAACAAACAUCUGUAUCAGCCACAGGUCUCCAGUUCUGACCAAUUCUCUUUGACACUAACAUUACUUUACAUGAGUAGAGUUCAAUGAGUGCUGAUAUGGGAUAUGACAGGGUAAAUCAGAAUUAGAUUAAAAACAAAAGUUUAGAAACCAACACUAUGCUGCCAAGCAAAUGGCUCUUGAAGGCCAAAUUUCUCAAACUGCCUUCAAGUCAUUUCCCCUAUUAGAUUUUUUUUCUCUUUCUCUGCUUUUAAAGCAGCUCCAGUGCACAACAGUAAAAUUAUACAUAAGGACUCUAAAUAUUCCUAAAAUAAAGCAAUUAACUUAUUUCCAGAAUUCUGCAAGCAAUCGUGACAGACUACCCUGAACAGAAAGCAGGAGUCGUGAUCCCUGACCCUCGGCCAACACAAAAGAGGCAGCCCUAGUACAAUGCCUGCUGUCAGCAACUGAAUUAUUUUUAUACAGGAAUUUUUAUCUCUAUUGUACAAACAAGUAUGUGUCUGUGCUGACUUGUUAAGCAAUCCACUUGUAUGUAGAAUAAGAUUUUUUUUUCUGCUACCAGUCACACAGCUCUAAGAUCAGAAGAAAUACACAGUCUUUGAAGCUCCUCAAAUGUUUUAGUUAAAAGGACAGCAGUUGUUUUCAAAGAUCCAAGAGUAUCUUUAUCAGAAUUUAAUUUUUCCUUAUUGAUUUUUUCUAACAUAACACAAAUUUAACAUAGGACAGUUUACAUUUAUUACAAAAUAAUACAACCAUUAAAUAAUUCUUUAGGAGGUAACAUUCUUUUUUAAAAUGCAGACAACACAACUUUUAAUUUGCUCGCAGAAAACGGAGACCCACAAUAAUGUUUCUUUUGAAUAAGACUAUUAAAAAAAUCAGCAACAAUAAUAAAUGAUUUCAUGUCACUGAUUACACCCAAACAGUAAAUGUACACUUUACAAAAACGGGUUGAAGUGCAAUGACUUAGUUGAUUUUUUUUCCAAAAAAUAAAUUCAGUGACCAGAAUACAACAGGGUUCAUACAAUGUCUGAUUCCUAACUGUGAGGUUGAUGGUGUGGCCAGGUAAUAUUUGAUGGCAAAUUAAUUGCUAUGAUCUUUGCAGCAUUUUUAUUUUUUUCAGCUUGCAUUUUGUAUUUAAUUGUUCACUAAAUCAAUUAAGUGAUGAAUGUAAAAUUGGACUCCUUGCGUUUUGAGGGAUAAGAUGGUACAACUUCUGUUUAAUAAAAAAAGGAAGAAUAAUAACAAAAAAGCAUCAGUGUUCUUCAGGUCUCUGUCCUUUCACAAUAAUUCUAUUCCUGAUAUAGGCAGAGGUUUUUUAUCAGAAAAGUGAUUUCUAUCUAAAGCUAAGAUACAAUUGUAGAUGUAAUUGUUCAGCUCUUAUGUUAACAGGAAGGACACAAACCAAAACUUGUUGUUUCUGACUGGCCAAAUCUCCCCAGGUAUCUAUCUCUUCAUUAACAUACAUGUUCAAGUAUUCCAGUGUGAAUUCAAUGACUGAAACCGAUUCAGACCUAAAUAAUACGCUCACAACGCCUACCUGUAAGGGCACAGUCUAGCAGUGAAGUCCUCAGUUAUUUCAGAGGAAGCUUAAGCUUAUUUCCUUGAAGUGUGUGUGUGUGUAUGUGUGU